UGUGGGAUGCAACACCGGCCAGCAGAAGGAUUCUGAUGAGAGGUCAAGAGAGUCUCGAUUGUGGGAGAAAGAGUACGAAAGAUUGAUUGAAGUGGGGGAGAAUGAUUCUGGAAAAUGGAUAUGAAUAUAGGCAAGAAAUGUCUUAUCUCUGAAUCUAGAAGUGAAUCAGAUCAAAUGAAUGAUACUAGUAUCUACAUCUUGAUGGGAAUGAUGAUGGAACACAUGGAAAGCAGGACCAAAUGAUGAAAAGGCUCAUACAAAAACUGGGUGGAAACGCUGAUUCUGUAUCAAUAUGGGAUUGAAAGGAUAUUGUCAAGCAAAGGUAUGAUUUGAUGAAUCUACUGACUACUAGUAUGUAAGUCACUGCCGCUGCUGUCACUGUCAUUGCUAUUUCCUUCAUCUACCGCAAGAGCCUUUCCAAGAACCACCAAUGGACUGUCAAGAAUACUCUUGUCUUCCUCACUAACUGCCACCACUACUAGUCUUUAAAAGAACUUCUUCAACAUCGAUACUAGUACUAUCGUAAAUCAAAGCUUCAUGAUAUUGAAAGGGACCAUAGAUUCAUUGAUAUAAUGGAUUUGAUUGAUUGAUUUGAUUUUGUAACU
rnacentral:sRNA from 1 species